rnacentral:lncRNA from 10 species
UCAAUGUUCCUUAAGGACAUUAUAACUAAUUCCCACGGCCAGAUGUGGCAUGAAGUUAGGUCUGUAGAGCAGGAGAGAAUGUGGGACUGUGGAGCCAUAGAGAAGUUUUUUGCUAACACAACAGCAACAGAAAUGUUAGGAACAAAACAGGCUUAGGAAUAAAACAUGCAGAACAUGCGAAUAAAAGUACCAGACAGUCUUCAUGAUCUAGACCAUCAGGCCAACUCUUAGGAAGAAUAUUAAGACCCAAAACACAAAACCCUCAUCACAAAACACCAAUACCCGCACCUGAACAUUGAAUCUAGGAGAGAGACAGGCCAGGGAUGAUUGAGCCUAAUGGGAUUGAAGAUAGGGCGGAUAAGAGGUGAUUUAGCAUUACUGUCACUUACUCAGAGGUCACUUCAGAGUUGAGGCAAAACCACAUCUUGGGAAAUCAUAGGGAGCCCCUGGCCAAACACCCCUCCCUCAAGUUACUUACUGUUCACAGGUGCUUCUUUAUUACAGUUCUACCUGCUGCCAUCUCAACUCAGCUCUCUCCUACAACUGCUACACAUUCAGCAUCGUCAGGUGCUGGGUUAUCUGCAACCACAGCCACAGCAGAGCCUGUGGCCCUCCCAUCCACACCCGUGCCCCUGGCAGGUAAGUGCUUGGGAAAAUGGGGGAAGGAGCUCACAUUUAUGGAACAACCAUAAUGUGAUAA